AUAUAAUAAUCAUAUAACAUAGCGGUUGUUGUUGAAUAAUUGCGCUUAAUAAUGAGUUUGAGCGGCAAGCCUUGAUUUUUUGGUACUUCUUGGUUUUAAAUGUUAGGUUGUGCAAUUCUCUAUAGCUGUAUGAGCAUUUGGAGCCUCGUUGCUGGACAAGGGGGUGAUUUAUUCAUUGGAGUUUACUGCAUUUAGGUUGCUCAAGAUUCAGUUUUGCUUAGACCAUCAGAUAAACUCUACUAGCACAUACUCUGACUUCAGAUUGGACAUGAGAGAGAGACUGCAAAUUUGUCUGAUGCAAAAAAAUCAUCGAUAAGUCAAACCUUCAGAUAAAGUCAGUCAUGGCAUUGGAUCAUCUAAAAAUUAUAUUUAUGUUCAAGCUAAGAAGGAGGCUCAUGUCAAAGAGGUACGUACAUUCUAUUCCUUUUCGACAAAAGUUGUUGUAGGAGGGACAAUCUAAAAGUAUUGUGCAAGAUAUAGAGCAUGCACUCAUCAUAUCUAAGUGAUCGGAGUGAUAUUGAUUAGCUUAUUAGAUGGAUAUUGGCCCAGUUUAUCUUUCAUUUUUUUCUAUAGCUGUUAGAAUUUUACUUUGCUCAGUUCAUACUAUAAAUAAUAUGAGACUCUUGUUUUGUGGUCCAAGUGUUUAGCGCUUAGGGUGCCUUGGAAGUACGCUAGCUUGUUGUCAUGAAGAAGUCAUUCAAGUUCCUUCCAGUGAGUUAUUAGUUCUUAUGUAUAUUUCUGUAACAUGUAAUUUUACAAUCUUUAUGCACAUUGGAGGUGUAUUUUACGACAUAAUUAAGCAUCAUAAACAAAUAUAUUUUAGAGUAGAAAGAAGGACAAUGCACUCCAUUAUGUUUUAAACAUUGACUUUUAUGUUUACCUCAUUGCAACCUUUUCAGGCACUUCCUAUAUUUCUUGACAUAAUGUUUCAUCAUGUUCUUGGUGUAAUAUUGUCAUUGUCAUUUGUUCUUGUCUUUGGAGAGGGAUCAUGUCUGGGCUCACACUGGGGCUCAUGUCGCUCGGCCUCGUCGAGCUGGUGAUCCUCCAAUGUAGCGACAUAGGCAUCUCAAGAGACCAUUAAUAUUAUGAAGAGGUCGAUGGAAGAAAAUAACAACCUCCAACUAUUAAACUUCAAUCGAGAACAAGUGCCUCCAGCUUAUGUCUGCUUGACCACUAUAUGAUCUACAACCUUAUGGCUACUAUAGAAGAUAGUUAUAGUAGCUCUGAAUGUGAAGUUAUACGAUCAUUUUCAAUUAUCCUUAAUAUUUAUCACUUUGAGUUUAAGUUAUAAGAUUGGCUUUGGAUUUUAAGUUAAAGGAUUUGAAGAUAUAUGUAUUGAAGUUAUA
rnacentral:lncRNA from 1 species